UAAACGACUCUCGGCAACGGAUAUCUCGGCUCUCGCAUCGAUGAAGAACGUAGCGAAAUGCGAUACUUGGUGUGAAUUGCAGAAUCCCGUGAACCAUCGAGUCUUUGAACGCAAGUUGCGCCCGAAGCCACUAGGUUGAGGGCACGUCUGCCUGGGCGUCUCAC
rnacentral:rRNA from 1 species